rnacentral:rRNA from 1 species
AACGAACGCUGGCGGCAGGCUUAACACAUGCAAGUCGAACGCAUCCUUCGGGGUGAGUGGCAGACGGGUGAGUAACGCGUGGGAACGUGCCCUUCAGUUCGGGAUAACCCAGGGAAACUUGGGCUAAUACCGGAUACGUGCGAGAGCAGGAAGAGUUAUCGCUGAAGGAUCGGCCGGCGUCUGAUUAGCUAGUUGGUGGGGUAAUGGCCCACAAAGGCGACGAUCAGUAGCUGGUCUGAGAGGAUGAUCAGCCACAUUGGGACUGAGACACGGCCCAAACUCCUACGGGAGGCAGCAGUGGGGAAUAUUGGACAAUGGGCGCAAGCUUGAUCCAGCCAUGCCGCGUGAGUGAUGAAGGCCUUAGGGUUGUAAAGCUCUUUCGUCCGGGACGAUAAUGACGGUACCGGAAGAAGAAGCCCCGGCUAACUUCGUGCCAGCCGCCGCAGUAA